AGGUCCGGCAUAAUCUCGGGAAACUGAGGAUAAUUCCGGAUAGCUCUUUUUGGCUGGAAUUGCAUUAAGAGUCAAAGUUCUUCGCCUAAGGAUGGGUCUGCGGCCUAUCAGGUAGUAGAGGGUGUAACGCACCUUCCAGCCGACAACGGGUACGGGUUGUGAGAGCAAGAGCCCGGAGAUGGAUUCUGAGACAUGAAUCCAGGCCCUACGGGGCGCAGCAGGCGCGAAAACUUUACAAUGCAGGAAACUGUGAUAAGGAAACACCGAGUGCCCGCAUCUAAUGCGGGCUGUCCAUAUACUCAAAAAGUAUGUGUUAGCAAGGGCCGGGCAAUACCGGUGCCAGCCGCCGCGGUAAUACCGGUGGCCCGAGUGGUAGCCGCUUUUAUUUGGUCUAAAGGGUCCGUAGCCGGUCCGGUCAGUCCAUUGGUAAAUCCGCGCGCCCAACGCGCGGUCUUCAGUGGAUACUUCCGGACUUGGGACCGGGAGAGGUAAGAGGUACUAUAGGGGUAGGAGUGAAAUCUUGUAAUCCUUAUGGGACCACCUGUGGCGAAGGCGUCUUACCAGAACGGGUCCGACGGUGAGGGACGAAAGCUGGGGGCACGAACCGGAUUAGAUACCCGGGUAGUCCCAGCCGUAAACUAUGCCCGCUGGGUGUCAGGCAUGGCGUGACUGUGUCUGGUGCCGUAGAGAAGUCGUGAAGCGGGCCACCUGGGAAGUACGGCCGCAAGGCUGAAACUUAAAGGAAUUGGCGGGGGAGCACUACAACGGGU
rnacentral:rRNA from 1 species